GUCGUGCAGUUUUGUGAUUGAACAAAAAUGCGCAUCUUCGGUGGCGUUGACGCCAGGCUCCGUGCUCGAAGUCACGCUUGGAGGGCGGAAUAUUCAUGGAGCUGCGGACACGGACAACGUGCGCCCGUUAACGAAUCCCGAAUCACUUCUCCCGCCUCUUCACUCCAGUUGACAGCCACACUCGGGGAAACGAAGGUGUCGCUUGGUCUGGCGCCUCACCGCUCGUGAUGGAAAAAUCAACAGCGGCGUUCGCCCUGUCAACCGAACGAGGCCGUCGAUCCUACAUUUCCUUUGGUUGGACAAGACGACGUAGGAAAAGAGAUACCGUUUUUAUGGUGCUCACGCUGAACAGGAGCGACAGCCUAGCAAGUCACAAGUCUGAUGCCUCCAGCCGUCACCACUUUGAUUUAUUCUUGAUCAUAAGGAAUAAAGAUUUAAACAUUA